AUCUUUGCGCUUGGGGCAAUGACGCAGCUAAUGAGGUACUAACCGAGGCGCGUCUAUUGCUGGUUGAAAACUAUUUCCAAACCCCCUCCUGGGCCUGAGCUUGUCUUGGGCCUUCGAGAAUUUCUGGAAGGGCUCCCUUCGGGGUAAAGCC
rnacentral:snRNA from 2 species